GACUCCACCUCCGUCAGAACCGCGACGGACUGCCCCCGAGUCCGCCGCUGGAGGCUAGGCGGCAGCGGAUGUAAAGUUCCGCCGCCGUCCACAAUGUGUCAAGUCCGGUUAAUGCAUCCGGCCUAGAUGGUCGCGGCGCCGCGGACCAGGUCUUCGUCGGCGCAGCGGAAGGGAGUUGGUGUCGUCCUCCCGCUGUCGCUCUGCCGCCUCCUUUGCGGACAUUACGGUUACGCUGAAGACCCGUAAUGCCGCCCACGCCUCUGCACUCGCGACCAUCUUACGCACUAAGGCCGGAAGCGAGAUGUCUUCGUUAAUGAUCGGAAG